ACGAACGCUGGCGGCGUGCUUCACACAUGCCAGUCGAACGGAAAGGCCUGCUUUCCCUUGUGGAUUGCGGGUGCUCGAGUGGCGAACGGGUGAGUAACACGUGAGUGAUCUGCCCCCAACUUGGGUAUAAGCCUGGGAAACUGGGUCUAAUUCCCGAUAGGACUGCAGGGUGGUGCCUGUGGUGGAAAACGAUUUUCUAGUGGUUGGGGAUGAGCUCGCGGCCUAUCAGCUUGUUGGUGGGGUAAUGGCCUGCCAAGGCGGCGACGGGUAGCCGGCCUGAGAGGGUGGACGGCCACAUUGGGACUGAGAUACGGCCCAGACUCCUACGGGAGGCAGCAGUGGGGAAUAUUGCACAAUGGGCGGAAGCCUGAUGCAGCGACGCCGCGUGGGGAUGACGGCCUUCGGGUUGUAAACUCCUUUCGACCGCGAGGAAGCCACCUGGUUGGAAGGGUGGUGACGGUAGUGGUAGAAGAAGCACCGGCUAACUACGUG
rnacentral:rRNA from 1 species